rnacentral:rRNA from 1 species
ACGCUGGCGGCGUGCCUAACACAUGCAAGUCGAGCGAGGAGAUUCCUUCGGGAUGAUCCUAGCGGCGGACGGGUGAGUAACACGUGGGCAACCUGCCUCAUAGAGAGGAAUAGCCUUCCGAAAGGGAGAUUAAUACCUCAUAACAUUGCAGUUUCGCAUGGAACAGCAAUUUAAAGGAGCAAUCCGCUAUGAGAUGGGCCCGCGGCGCAUUAGCUAGUUGGUGAGGUAACGGCUCACCAAGGCGACGAUGCGUAGCCGACCUGAGAGGGUGAUCGGCCACAUUGGGACUGAGACACGGCCCAGACUCCUACGGGAGGCAGCAGUGGGGAAUAUUGCACAAUGGGGGAAACCCUGAUGCAAGCAACGCCGCGUGAGUGAUGACGGCCUUCGGGUUGUAAAGCUCUGUCUUCAGGGACGAUAAUGACGGUACCUGAGGAGGAAGCCACGGCUAACUACGUGCCAGCAGCGGC